rnacentral:rRNA from 1 species
AUUGAACGCUGGCGGCAUGCCUUACACAUGCAAGUCGAACGGCAGCACGGGAGCAAUCCUGGUGGCGAGUGGCGAACGGGUGAGUAAAGUAUCGGAACGUGCCCAGUCGUGGGGGAUAACGUAGCGAAAGUUACGCUAAUACCGCAUACGAUCUAUGGAUGAAAGCGGGGGAUCGCAAGACCUCGCGCGAUUGGAGCGGCCGAUAUCAGAUUAGGUAGUUGGUGGGGUAAAGGCUCACCAAGCCGACGAUCUGUAGCUGGUCUGAGAGGACGACCAGCCACACUGGGACUGGAGCACGGACCAGACGCCUACGGGAGGCAGCAGUGGGGAAUUUUGGACAAUGGGCGAAAGCCUGAUCCAGCCAUGCCGCGUGCAGGAUGAAGGCCUUCGGGUUGUAAACUGCUUUUGUACGGAACGAAAAGGUUUGGCCUAAUAAGCUGAGCUCAUGACGGUACCGUAAGAAUAAGCACCGGCUAACUACGUGCCAGCAGCCGCCGUAA